GCGGGGGAUAACUAUUGGAAACGAUAGCUAAUACCGCAUAAGAGAGACUAACGCAUGUUAGUAAUUUAAAAGGGGCAAUUGCUCCACUAUGAGAUGGACCUGCGUUGUAUUAGCUAGUUGGUGAGGUAAAGGCUCACCAAGGCGACGAUACAUAGCCGACCUGAGAGGGUGAUCGGCCACACUGGGACUGAGACACGGCCCAG
rnacentral:rRNA from 1 species